rnacentral:rRNA from 1 species
CAUGCAAGUCGAACGGAAAGGCCCUUCGGGGUACUCGAGUGGCGAACGGGUGAGUAACACGUGGGUGAUCUGCCCUGCACUUUGGGAUAAGCCUGGGAAACUGGGUCUAAUACCGGAUAGGACCGCGCUCUUCAUGGGGUGUGGUGGAAAGCUUUUGCGGUGUGGGAUGGGCCCGCGGCCUAUCAGCUUGUUGGUAGGGUAAUGGCCUACCAAGGCGACGACGGGUAGCCGGCCUGAGAGGGUGACCGGCCACACUGGGACUGAGAUACGGCCCAGACUCCUACGGGAGGCAGCAGUGGGGAAUAUUGCACAAUGGGCGCAAGCCUGAUGCAGCGACGCCGCGUGAGGGAUGACGGCCUUCGGGUUGUAAACCUCUUUCACCCACGACGAAGCGCAAGUGACGGUAGUGGGAGAAGAAGGACCGGCCAACUACGUGCCAGCAGCCGCGGUAAUACGUAGGGUCCGAGCGUUGUCCGGAAUUACUGGGCGUAAAGAGCUCGUAGGUGGUUUGUCGCGUUGUUCGUGAAAACUCACA